UACGGGGGGGGCAAGCGUUGUUCGGAAUUACUGGGCGUAAAGGGCUCGUAGGUGGCCAACUAAGUCAGACGUGAAAUCCCUCAGCUUAACUGGGGAACUGCGUCUGAUACUGGAUGUCUUGAGUUUGGGAGAGGGACGCGGAAUUCCAGGUGUAGCGGUGAAAUGCGUAGAUAUCUGGAGGAACACCGGUGGCGAAGGCGGCGUCCUGGACCAACACUGACACUGAUGAGCGAAAGCCAGGGGAGCAAACGGG
rnacentral:rRNA from 1 species